rnacentral:rRNA from 1 species
GAUGAACGCUGGCGGCAUGCCUUACACAUGCAAGUCGAACGGUAACAGGUCUUCGGAUGCUGACGAGUGGCGAACGGGUGAGUAAUACAUCGGAACGUGCCUAGUGGUGGGGGAUAACUACUCGAAAGAGUGGCUAAUACCGCAUGAGAUCUACGGAUGAAAGCAGGGGAUCGCAAGACCUUGUGCUACUAGAGCGGCCGAUGGCAGAUUAGGAAGUUGGUGGGAUAAAAGCUUACCAAGCCGACGAUCUGUGGCUGGUCUGAGAGGACGAUCAGCCACACUGGGACUGAGACACGGCCCAGACUCCUACGGGAGGCAGCAGUGGGGAAUUUUGGACAAUGGGCGCAAGCCUGUUCCAGCAAUGCCGCGUGCAGGAUGAAGGCCUUCGGGUUGUAAACUGCUUUUGUACGGAACGAAAAGCCCUGGGUUAAUACCCUGGGGUCAUGACGGUACCGUAAGAAUAAGCACCGGCUAACUACGUGCCAGCCGCCGCGGUAA